rnacentral:rRNA from 1 species
UACGUAGGGUGCAAGCGUUAAUCGGAAUUACUGGGUGUAAAGCGUGCGCAGGCGGUUUUGUAAGUCUGUCGUGAAAUCCCCGGGCUCAACCUGGGAAUGGCGAUGGAGACUGCAAGGCUAGAAUCUGGCAGAGGGGGGUAGAAUUCCACGUGUAGCAGUGAAAUGCGUAGAGAUGUGGAGGAACACCGAUGGCGAAGGCAGCCCCCUGGGUCAAGAUUGACGCUCAUGCACGAAAGCGUGGGGAGCAAACAGG